GACGAACGCUGGCGGCGUGCUUAACACAUGCAAGUCGAACGGAAAGGCCCUGCUUUUGUGGGGUGCUCGAGUGGCGAACGGGUGAGUAACACGUGAGUAACCUGCCCUUGACUUUGGGAUAACUUCAGGAAACUGGGGCUAAUACCGGAUAGGAGCUCCUGCUGCAUGGUGGGGGUUGGAAAGUUUCGGCGGUUGGGGAUGUACUCGCGGCUUAUCAGCUUGUUGGUGGGGUAGUGGCUUACCAAGGCUUUGACGGGUAGCCGGCCUGAGAGGGUGACCGGCCACAUUGGGACUGAGAUACGGCGCAGACUCCUACGGGAGGCAGCAGUGGGGAAUAUUGCACAAUGGGCGGACGCCUGAGGCAGCAACGCCGCGUGCGGGAUGACGGCCUUCGGGUUGUAAACCGCUUUCGCCUGUGACGAAGCGUGAGUGACGGUAAUGGGUAAAGAAGCCCCGGCUAACUACGUG
rnacentral:rRNA from 1 species